CCGGUUACAUAAAUAAUAUUUCAAUUUUCUUAUCCUUUCACAGUUUUAGUUUAUUCCCCCAAAUAGAUGUCAGAUCCAUCCUCGAAAGCUCGAACCAUUCUCUGUAUCCCAACCAUCUCCGAUCCAUCCUCUCCCACCGGCCAUUGUCACUGAUCCAUCUUCUGAUUUAUCGUUUCUCGUUUCUCGUUUCUCUUCAAAGGAUUCAGUCGUCUCUUCACUCGCCAGUCGCCGACUCCAAAAAUUUCUGAGGUAAUUUUUCUACCAAUUGGGCUCGGAUGGUAUAUAAACUGAGUUUAUUUUGAACUUUGGUCAAUGAAUUUAUCUCUACUUAUGUGGAUUUGUCUAUAUAUGGGUGUUUACUGUUUAGGGCUUUAUUUUUAUUUUUUAGUUGUGCUUGAUGAUUUUAUUUUGAUAUGAUAUCUUUUUCUUCGUUCCUUCGUUGCCAUUUUUUUCCCAGACCAAACUUUCAAUUUUCUCGGCUUCUUGUAGGCCUGGUAACAGUAGUGAUACUUAUAAAUUUGAAUUGAAGUGUAAGAUUAAUUGAUGAUGUGGUGCUGUAGCAAACUCAAUAACAAACGAACAGAAAAAGGAUUCAAAUUGAAACUUUGGAUCAAUAUUUUCUUGAGGUUUACUUAGCUCCAAUGCAUAUUAAAAGUAAUAGAUCAUUCUAGGCUUAUGCAGAGAAUUGCAUUAAUUUUAUAUACAUUGUUCUCUGGAAGGCACUCCUUCAGAUUAUGAAGUGAAUAGACCCAUUACUAUCAACUUUAUUAGGAGAACUAUGAGUAAGAAAGUGCAUUAUUUUCAAUGCUACCCCCCUUGUUUUAUAAAUCCAAUGAGCUGGCGAAGGGUUUGUUUGGUUAGUAGCGUUUGCGGUAUUUAGAGUCCAAACACACAACAUCAUUUUUGGUCCGGUGCAUUUGAGUAUUAAACAACGCGUUUGUAAGUUAAAUAAGGUGUUUGUAGAUUAACAAUAUUUUUAAGUGUGUUUGGACUUUCAAACUCUCUAAACACACUAAACAUUUCAAACAUCGUUUAACUAAACCCUCUAAACACACUAAAUGUUCCAAACAUCGUGUAACUAAACAUACGCUAACAUUGGUCUUGUGACUUGCAAUGCUGCAGUAUUAUUCUUUUUCUCCUAUUUUUACCUAAUAAUAAUUCUACCUUUCAUAUGCUUCUUGGAUAAAAUGAUACUGGAAGGCAAUAUGUUUAGUUUUUCAUGGCUCGUUAGAUUAUUUUUUUUUUAACAUUUUUUUUCUCUGGCGUAUCAAUGUUUGUUGCUUAAAAGAAAUAUCCAUUUAUUUUGCUUCUUACCUACAUCUUUAAGCAAUGUCCUUAAUCACAUAGCUUGAUAAAUUGCCUCAACAUAUUUAAUUGAACAUAGGUAUUGUGCAGGUACCUUUUGUUCCUUCUUUAUAAUCAGAAGUGCUCUUUAUGUCAUCAACAAUUUCAGCCCAAUCACUAUUGGAAUAAGCAAUUAAAUCUUAAGUUUCUACUAAUUUAGAGUACAUGAUCUCAUAAUCAAGUGUCCCUAGUAUUUCAACUUUCUUUAGCAACUCUACAGUGGACAAUUUCUUUUUGUUUCUUUUUGUCCCAAAAAAAUGGUUAUGUUUCUUUUUGUGAUGUGUGCUUUUAUGUGACACUUUAUGAUUAUCUAUGCUUAUUAUUUGUUUUUAUAGAUGGCUGAUUUAUCCACCUCUAAAAUAAGGACUGAAUUUGAAGAGCAAAAGGGAGUUGUGAGUGAAUUACAUGAGCGACUUGGGGAUGUAGAAUAUCAAAUUAAUGAGGGAGAAAAGUUGAGGAAGAUUAACAUGCGUCCAAAUUGAACUUGAAAAUCCACGGUUAAAAUUUUUUGCUCCCUUCAAGUUACAUGUGAUGUCCCUUUCAUCCACGAGGUUUCAAUUUCCAAAGACAUAUCGCGUGUAAACUUGAACAGCAGAAAAGUUAUUUUAUCAAAAUUUAGUAAUCUUUAGUUUCAUUGUCAUCAAUGAAGUACUUAAAAUUGUCCAGUUUUGCAUAAUAAUGGCAUUUUAUAAGCAAUUUUUUUACACUGUUAACAACUUUCAAUUACUUGUUGUUCACUGGGUCAUUAUUCUGUACUAAAGUAAUUAUGGAGUACUGUAUUCAUUUGAGGAUUCAGGCCAGAUAUCCAGCCUAACUUUGUUUUGAGUUUUCAAUUUUAUUUCAAGGCUAGACGUCCAAGUUUGUGUAACCUGCCGUUCCAUUCAGAAUUGAAAUGAUUUUCUAAAUUUGGUCAAAAUUUCCUUUGAAGUAUUACUUCUAAAUUACUUAACACAUAUGUAAUUGCAUGAUGCACUUACUCCUAGUCAAGCAGAUUGUGAAGUUCAGUUCAGAUAUUUCCUUUUUGGUGCUUGUUUUUCUUCCAAUACUAACGGUGCACAAGCCUCUCAUGUUUGUAACAUUUGUUAAAUGUAAAAAUUUUGGAAGAUCGUGAGAUGUAACGAAAAUGAGCCUCUUAAAAAAGGAGUUUGAUCAUAUUUUGUAAAAUUAUGUGAAAAAUAUUCUUGUUGUUGUGCUGGAAAUAUGUUGUAUUUAUUUAGCAAAAAAAAUGUAGUAUUUAACUCUCUUGUGUGAACAAUAAUACAAUAUCCUUUCUAUACAAAUUUUUAUGUCUUGUUUUUUUUGCAACUCAUGUCAAAUUUACGUCAUUAUUACAGUACUUCUCCAACAUCUAGUAUUCAUUAUGGUGUGUCCCUAACAUCAUCUUUAUAUUUAAGGAAGUGAAGUUGGAUAUUUCCUCCUCAACGUUAAGGAGCUGCUAAUCUUGAACCAGCUCUAAAUAAGGCAAUCUUUUCUUAAACUGCAUCACUUUCAGUUGCUUUAUUCUCUCAAUGCUAUGAGACAGAUUAUUUCUUACUUUUCAGUUUUUCCUAAAAUUAUAUUUAUACAACCCAUACAUACCAUGCUGUUUCUAACACUAAAAAAAAACAUUCGUCUCAAACUCAACUUCAUAGUGGCUUUGCUUCCAAAAAAGCCACAAAUUAUAAUUAAAUCUUCGCAGCUUUCCUUUUUAUUCCCUUCUCACUUCUUAUCAUCAUCUGCUGUGUGAUGCUCCCAAAAUAGGUAUACAUCACCCAUCUUGGGUCGCCAAAUACAUGGUAUUGAAUACAAAUACAAACUUAAUUAUACAACAUGAGCUGAGAGUUUUUACACGAAUAUUGUCAUCUAGACAAUAUCCAAACUCAAAUAGAGUCCUCAUUAUAUAUAUUGGCACACUAUUUUAUAGAAUAGUGAGGACUACUAUAACACCAUCUCGGGCCAUCACUCCGUUCCUCGACUAGUUCCGGCUACGUUCUCAUUUCCUGAAGAGAACAAUGGAAGUAAAAGGGUGAGCUCAACUAGCCCAGUAAGAAAUAUUAUGACUAAGAUAAUGCAGAAUAAGUUAUCAUUAGCCUUCAACAAUGUUAAACUAAUAGAAUAUAAUAGACAACAAGUUUAACUGCAGCGGAACAAGCAAUCCAUUAGAAGAGUCAAGUAGAGCAUGAUAUCUACUAUCUUCUAUGAUUUAAAAAGUUUAUCAUUAUCUUUAUUGCUGGGACUUAGCUUAAUAAAUAGAUCACAUCAUCGAAUCAUCCCUGCACUACGGGCCAAGGAUAUUCAUUAGUAUCACGCCCACAAAUUAUUCUUGCACUACGGGCCAAGAAUUAUUCGUGUAAUCAUUAAUGGUCAUGACUAUACCGAAUUAUUCCUGGUCAUAAUCAUACCAAUCAAUAGUCCAUCUAUGCACGUAAGUCAAAGAUGACUUUCAUCAUAAUAUAAGCAUGAGGAUGAUGACAAUGAUAUAAGAAUUCAAUUAAAAGAAAGCAAAGGAUAAAUUUUUAAAUAUUUAUAAUUUAAUUUAUCCAAAAUUUAAUAAUGUCCAAAUUUUUAACAUGAUACUGCUUUGUAGAGUAAAAUUCAAGAAUAAUAUCCUUGUAUCAAAAAUAAUUUGGACAGAAAAGAAAUAAAUUUUUCAGUGAAUAGUACUUCGGGAAUAGUACCCCGUGAAUAGUAACCCGACAUGAAAAGUGCCCCAAAUAUCCGACUAAACAAUAUUUGAGUGAAUAGUAAUCGGGUGAAUAGUAACCCGUGAAUAGUAAUUCGUGAAUAGUACCCCGACAUGAAAAGUGCCCCGAAUACCCGAGUGAAUAAUAUUAUAGUGAAUAGUAAUCGGGUGAAUAGUAAUCCGUGAAUAGUACCUUAUGAAUAGUACUUCGGGUGAAAAUAUUGAUAUUUAAUACGAAAGUUCAUAUCAAUAUCCCAAUAAAAUUAUACUGGAUGAAGCGCAAAAAUCAAGGAUAUUCCACUAAUUUCAAGGAUUAUAGAAGCAAUACUUACCAUAGUAAGUUUAGAUUUAAGAAUAUGAAAAGAAUUAACAUACGAAAACUACAAAUGGAUUUUCUCCUGUCAUACGGUACGUAAUCCGCGUAGACAGGUUAUUCCGACAUACUAAAGGAUGAAUACGAAAAAUAGUAUUCCUUAUUAAUACGAAAUAAAUAAUACCCCUUACCUUAGUAGAAAGUUGGAUACUGCUAAAGUGAAGUAGUAGAAUACUCUUCUUCUUGCUCUUUAUAGUUUCUCUAUAGUGUCUCUUGUGAAUCUCAGUGAAUUGGUGAGAAUGAAAGAAGAAUUAAGCUUCUAUUUAUAGGAGAAUGGACUAAAUAGUAACUAAUUCAUGAACGGUCCAGAUUGAUUCACUAUUAGAACGGACGGUCCAUAUUGAUUACUAUUAAAAUCACAACCGACGGUCCAGAUUGAUUUACUUUUAAAACCACCACCGACGGUCCAGAUUGAUUUACUUUUAAAACCACCAUCAAUGGUCCAGAUUUAUUUACUAUUAAAACCACCACCAAUGGUCCAUAUUGAUUUAACUUAUUACACUUUGGUACCCCUAAAGUUUUCCAAGUUUGCAUUAUUUUCCUCUAACUUUUGUAAUUCACUCAUCUUCAAUAAACACAUUCUUAAUACUUCGAUAAUUAUUCAUCAUUAAUAUUAUAACUCAUAAUAUUUAACAGUCAGAUCGUUCCCAAGAAAGAGGGGGCUUUCCAAUAAGGAUUUCUCCCUAUUGACGCGCAAUUAGGUGACCAAACCUCUUCUCGACAGAACUUUCUAGACAUUGUCAUUAUUGCAAAUAAUAAUAUGAAUAACUUUGUUGUCACAAUUAUUGAUUUAAUAAUAUAAAAUAUUAUGCAGAUGAUAAUAUGACAAUAAUUAAAUCAAAUAACGUGAAAUAUUAUGCAACAAUUACUGUAGCAAUAAUUGAGUAUAAAUGAGUGCUUCUCACGUAAGCAUCAAUAAUCAAUACCAUGUGCUACUAUGCAACCACGCGUAUUACUGUACUUUUACCACCGGGUAGUUCAACAGUUUAACGGUAAAACUUUCGUUAUUUUUAUAAAAAGAUAUUUUUGUCGUUUUCUAACUACGACAAUACUUUUGUUGUGGGGUCUACCAAUGAUUGUACCGUCGUACGAAUAUUUUCUGUUAAAAUGAAUAUUCCUCGACCAAUCGAAUAUUCACUAACACAACGAAUAUUUUAUAUCAACUUGCUUACUUUGCAAAAUUUUUCAAAUAUUAUCCACAACUAUAACAUUAUAUCAUAUCCACACCAUAAUAUUCAAAAAUAUAUUUCGAGAAAAAUUAUUUUUUAUUCGAAAAAAUUGGGGUCUUACAUGCUGAACAUAAGAACUUCUCUAAAAUAAUGCAAAUAUCACCAAUCUGCAAAUCACCAGACUAUUGUUUAAUCUAUUGUAAAUCUCCAGACUAUUGUUUAAUCUAUUGGAUUUCAUAUUAUGAAAUCUGCUUUUCUAGACGGUUUGGAAGACCAUGGUUGUUGAAUGUGACUGAAUUCUGACUUGAGGUCAACAUAUAAUAAUAAUCUACAAGUCUUGUAACAGAAAAUAUGUUUACCACUAUGCUUACUGAAAUUAAUUCAUGAAAUGGCCGAUUAAGAUUCCAAUUUUAUCUUGUAACAGAGCAAUCAUAUAGUCGCACUGAAGGUUCUUUUUCUAUUUGGAUUUGUAGCAAAUGUUAUUGUGAUUGCCUAUUUGUCUUUUUCUUCUUAUGAGCAAUACGAUGUACAUUAGUACCACAUAACAACUCUAUUGUCUUUGUGUAUUGAUUUUGGCACUAAGUGCCUCUGGUGACCUAUUUGCUUCAUUUUCCUGACUUGCUAUUAUUUUUAAAUAUGUGCAAAGACUGCUUCUACGACUUGCCUUACAAUACUGGGUAUCAAAUUUUCGUGCUACGUUUACGGAAGAUAAGGGACGAAAUUUUGAAGUGUACUCUCUCUAUAUAUGUAGAUAUAUACUUUGAUUGAAGAACUGUGGUAGCUUUAGAUGGUUAAUUGUAAAGAUAAUGAAUGAAUAUGUAGUGGAUGAUUUUAUUAAGUUAAUAGUAUUUUAGUUUUUUGUAUUUUUGCCAUUAUUUGUUAUGGGGACAUUGAGAUAGCCAGGUACACAAAAAGAAUGUUAAAUUUUGAUUUGGCAACAAUAUAAUUCGUUACCAAAGCAUUGAACAA
rnacentral:lncRNA from 1 species